UUGGACGUUUUAGAGGUUCACCUGCCCUGUACUCCUGCAAUGUGCUCUACGGUGUCUUAUUGAAUGAACCAGGAUUGACUCUCUGUUCCUCGAUGACAUUUGAGAUCAUGAUAACAGACUCCAUUUUAACAAACUUAUUCCAAAUACAUUUAAAGCACACGUCGAUAUCCAGUUAGGUAAGGAAGCUAAAGUUAGCUAUACAAGUCGUAGGACAUAGGACAUGAAACUCAAAUUUUUCAAACUAAACAAGGAUUUAAUUAACUUUCUAUAUAAAAUUACAACUAGAGAUAAACAAGCAUAUAUAGGCAUUUCGUCAUCAUUCUUUUCGUCUACCACGGCGAUUUAUUGUUGAACAGCCACUUGCUCAAAACACAGACACAAA
rnacentral:lncRNA from 1 species